GCCACAAAAUGAAAGUGGUUUAAGAGAGUGAGCAUCUGCUAAACUCCCACCUCUGUAAUUCUGGCAGAAAAUCUGACACUGCGGAAGGCAUCCUAUUCCAUAGGUUCUUUCAGAAAGCCUGGAGGAAGAUGGUGAAGCCCACCAAGGUACUAUGCUAGAAUUAUGUCUGAUUUCAGCCCAGCUUAUUUCAGAGCAGCCACCA
rnacentral:lncRNA from 1 species